UACGGAGGGUGCAAGCGUUAAUCGGAAUUACUGGGCGUAAAGCGCGCGCAGGCGGUCUGUUAAGUCGGAUGUGAAAUCCCCCGGCUGAACCUGGGAACUGCAUUAGAAACUGGGAGGCUGGAGUAUGGGAGAGGGAGGUAGAAUUCCAGGUGUAGCGGUGAAAUGCGUAGAGAUCUGGAGGAAUACCGGUGGCGAAGGCGGCAUCCUGGACGAAGACUGACGCUGAGGUGCGAAAGCGUGGGGAUCAAACAGG
rnacentral:rRNA from 1 species